CGGCGCCGGCAGCGCCGCGGAGCCGGAGCGUCGUGAGCGGCCCUGGUGCGGCGGUUUGGCUACAGCCGGGCGAGAGGCGGCGCCAGCAGCGCGAGGAGCGCGGUCAGCGAGCGAGUCUCUUCAAGAUGAAGAAGAGAACAUGCAGGAAUGCUGGGGCAGACUCCAGGUUGCUGCCAGUAACCUGAAGAAGCACUGCCCCUCAUCUGUCAUGGGUGCCCUUGCUAGUGUGUGUGAGGACCCU